rnacentral:rRNA from 1 species
GAGCCCGGAGAUGGGCACUGAGACAAGGGCCCAGGCCCUACGGGGCGCAGCAGUCGCGAAAACUUGCAAUACACGAAAGUGUGACAGGGCUAUCCCGAGUGCCAUCCGCUGAGGAAGGCUUUUACCCAGUCUAGAACGCUGGGGGAAUAAGGAGAGGGCAAGUCUGGUGUCAGCCGCCGCGGUAAUACCAGCUCUCCGAGUGGUGUGGAUGUUUAUUGGGCCUAAAGCAUCCGUAGCUGGCUAAGUUAGUCCCCUGUUAAAUCCAACGAAUUAAUCGUUGGAUCGCGGGGGAUACUGCUUGGCUAGGGGACGAGAGAGGCAGACGGUAUUUCCGGGGUAGGGGUGAAAUCCUAUAAUCCCGGGAAGACCACCAGUGGCGAAGGCUGUCUGCUAGAACGCGCCCGACGGUGAGGGAUGAAAGCUGGGGGAGCGAACCGGAUUAGAUACCCGGGUAGUCCCAGCUGUAAACGAUGCAGGCUAGGUGUUUGGACGGCCACGUGCCGUUCUAGUGCCGCAGGGAAGCUGUUAAGCCUGCCGCCUGGGGAGUACGGCCGCAAGGCUGAAACAUAAAGGAAUUGGCGGGGGAGCACCACAACGGGUGGAGCUUGCGGUUUAAUUGGAUUCAACGCCGGG